UACGGAGGGAGCUAGCGUUGUUCGGAAUUACUGGGCGUAAAGCGCGCGUAGGCGGCUUUGUAAGUUAGAGGUGAAAGCCCGGGGCUCAACCCCGGAACAGCCUUUAAGACUGCAUCGCUAGAAUCCGGGAGAGGUGAGUGGAAUUCCGAGUGUAGAGGUGAAAUUCGUAGAUAUUCGGAAGAACACCAGUGGCGAAGGCGGCUCACUGGACCGGCAUUGACGCUGAGGUGCGAAAGCGUGGGGAGCGAACAGG
rnacentral:rRNA from 1 species